rnacentral:lncRNA from 7 species
CCUGGGAUGGGGAGUGUGAAAUGGCAGCAGGAACCGCAGUGCUCUGCCAGCUUCCCUCGGCUCCGCUUUGGAUUAAAGCAACCAGAACUGCAGGUCAUUUGAAUCAUAGAUACAAAAAAUCUAACUGUUGAUAUAAGGAGAUCAGAACUGCGUGUAUUUCAUGUUGUGCUUUGAAGAAGUAACGUCCUUGCAAAAACCAAAGAGCUCAGAGGAUUUCCUCUGUCAUUUUCCUACUACCAGCCGUCAUGCGUUGCAUUCUCUUCCAAAAGAGAAGGUGAAAAGGAGCGAGACAAAGAAGAAAGGGAUCACAGUAUCUCAAUUUUAUUUUCUUUCCUGAAAAGUAUUCUCUUUGGACAGACAGUAAUUGUAGUUUCUAAUGACACAAACUUGAAGGGAAACAGAAGAAGACUACAAACAGGUUUAUGGGCCUAUCAGCGGGAAUAUGUGGCUACAAAUUGCUGAGUAAAUGAAACAGCCUGUUGUUUCCUAAGACUGAGAUUGUGAGUGUUAUGCCAAAGUAUUUGAGGAGGAGCUAGAGCACCAGGCGGUGUAAAGAAUACCUGCUGAGCCCUAAUUGGUGCCCACUGUUGUUAAUGGCUUCCUGUGGCUGAGUGUUUACUUGUCAUUUGUUUUGUGCUUUGUUUCCCAGCUACUGGAAGGAAUAAAAAUACUGACCAAAACU